rnacentral:misc_RNA from 1 species
CUACCACUGAUGGCCGCCACGCGUGAUGUCGGGCGCCGAGCUCUGCACCGAAUGACCGGCUCGGUCAGUGGCGUCAAUUGGCGCCCGACGCUUUUCAAGGACGAGGUGACGUUGAAUCGUUACGCCUGCUGUAUCUGUUACGUUCUUCCAAGCACGACGUUCGUGCUUCCCUGUUCGCACGGCUUGUGUGGAAAGUGCCAUGCUGGCUGUGUCGUCGAAGAUGGCGGAAGCGUCUGUCCCCUGGACGGAGAGUCGUUCUGCGAGGCCGAGUGCCAGGAGUUGCAGCUUCCAGCUAGGAAGAAGCGGGGCCUUAAGGCCUACUGCUGGAAUGAGCCCUACGGCUGCGAUUUCGUCGGCUCUCUGGCGGCGCUGCUGCACCACUACGAGGAAGACUGCACCUUUCACGCGUUCCCGUGUCAUCAGUGCGGCGAGAAUAUCAUGAUAGAUGUGUUGGCUGCCCACUACAUGGGUCGGUGCAGCAACAUAUCCUCAAGUGCGGCACUCGACGAAUCUCCGCUACGGGACGACGCCUCCGUCGCCAGCCCUGACGUCACUGUGGUUCGGCACGAAGCCGACGAGCAAUUGCUGUGUACGCAUGAAGAAGACAGGAUCACCGCGCUGCAGCGCGCGAUCGACACACUCACGUCAAUGACCGCAACCAUAGACGCAAGUCUCGACGAGACAGAGGAGAAGCUUGAGAAGCUGGAAAUGGAGGGUUAGCUGCCAGCCUUGUGACUGUAAACGACGUGGCGCCAGCCACCGAGAAAUUUUCUGUGACAACCGGCUAUACCUCGCAACUGCAGCAGCACGCGUUUAUUUCGUUAUUGUAAAAAGGUUUCCGGCCCCUAGAAGGCCACAGCCGGAGCAUGUCCUGGUUUUCUACGGUAGCAGUGGCGGGAGGUGAUGACGAACAUCCUUCGGGAUUGCAAUGAUUUUACGCGAUUCGUUGCCGCCUCAAUGGAGCGCAUAGUCUCCCUCAUAUAGGCGUAUUACGCAAAGGAUUGUUAUCCAAGCCGGAGGAGAUCCAUUGAAAUCGCCACACGUGACUUACGGAAGACACCAGACUUCGUUCGUCGUGCACCGACGCUUCUGCGACUCGUGGAGUGUCAUGCGAACUGUCGCCACUCGAUUUGUCGAUGGAUUGCGAGCCUUUCGUAGUCGCCUUUUUUAUCUCAUUGUUUUACUUUUCACAAUCACUCACAGCAUACAGAGACUACGCUGGCUGUUUGUCGGAAGCUCUGUGAACGAAUAAAGAACUUGCUGAUUA